UACCAGUCCAACAUCCCUAGAGGAAGGUCAUAUACCAGUUAAACUCUGCCGUUUUGCUUCUUAGUGUGCACGUGUGAGCCCAUUUGCUCAACUCCUGAGAUCUUAUUAGGAAGCUGCUGAUCUCCAGUUUCAGAUGUAGACAAGGCUGGAAAGGAAAUCGAUGCCAUAUCAAGUUUAAUCCUCCUGCUACAGACUUCACAUACGCUCAGAAUAAUACAUGGACUCUCCUGGGUAUUGGAUUAGCAUUCCUGAUGACUCACAUCACAGUUGCAGUCUUGUGUUUUCUUGCAAACAGAAAGGUACCAAUAAGGAAAACCGAGGGAAGUGGUAACUGUGCCUUUGUCAAUCCAGUUUACGGGAACUGGAGCAACCCAGAGAAAACAGAGAGUUCUGUCUAUUCCUUCUCAAACCCAUUAUAUGGCACAACAUCAGGAAGCCUGGAGACCCUGUCACAUCAUCUCAAAUAGCAGCAUCGAGACCAAGUCUGAUCCAACAUGUGUAGUUUCUAGAAAAUUGAAGUCUCCACAAUCUGAUAGAAACUCAUCUUCUACAAUGGUAAAAAGAGAAAGGAUUGUAAAUGCCAGUGUAAUUAUAACAUUUAUGAAUGAAUUUUCUUGCAGAAUAUAGAGAAUGUUUAUAUGGAAUCAGAAUCAGUACCUUAUCUUCACUGAACAUCUGAAUAUUUUAAUAAAAUUUCUAUUUAAUCAAGUUUCUUGUUUUUCUUUGAUUUUAUCUUUUUUUAAAUGAUGAAUGAAUU
rnacentral:lncRNA from 1 species